GACACAAAAUCCCUCUGUCCAGAUCCCCAGAGCUAUAUAUAUUCGGUGUGCCCUGUUCUCAGAUUAGGGCUUGCAAAAAAGGAAAACAUCUUGCUGUGCUGGAUCAAGCAUUUCACAGCAUCGUGCCCUGGCUCCCAAGACAGUUUGUCUCACUGGCCAGCUGCCUCUGCAUGUGGCUUCAAUUGCAUCAGCACCUACUCCAGCUCAGUAGUCAGUGGGCCAAAUUCUGUCUAUACUUGGAUCAGGGGACAGCCUCAGCAGAGCUACAAAGUGUUUUCUGCCUGAGAAAAGCUAUUCACCUUCUGGGACUGUCAGCCCAGGACUGCUCAGAUCAGCGCAGCCAUGCCGGUGCUUCCUUGCUCUCCAGAAGAGUUUAUUUUGUGCACGUAUGCUAAAGCAACGUUCUUUUAAAAGAUGCAUGCCCUCAAAUGGUUGUACUGCUGUGUCACUGGUGGGGAUUGUGAGCUCUGGAAGUUUAUUUCAAUACAUUGCUCCUGGAGGCAGUUUCAGGUGUACUCUGCCAUUGACUCAGAGGUCCUUGCUGUGGGCUCAGCAUCGAAACCUUUACAUGGCCUCCCGUGGGACAUUCAGCCAGCACCUUGUUUUCACAGCAAGGUUCCCUCCUGUCCUGACCCCUGCUUCAAGACGGGUUUGACUGCGGCAGUCAGAGGUGUACGAAGUGCUUUUGGAAGGCUCUGCAGAGUGACUCAGCAGCUCAGCUCUGGUUACGUGACCCAGAAUCGACUUGGCACAAAACCUGCCUGUUCUCACUGCUGGGCCACAGCUCUGCCAGCUGCAGGUCAGCUCACGCUCACCCUCCCUCACCCUGUCCCUUCCUCCAGGAGUCUGCUUUGCCUUCAUUUUUUUGCAGGCACCAAAGUGGUUCUUUGCUUGGCCUGGGCUCUUCCCUUCCAGCUCUUCCAGGUAGGACGGAUCCAGAUGAGUUCUGGUCCUGUCUGA
rnacentral:lncRNA from 1 species